CGCAAUGGGCGAAAGCCUGACGGAGCAACGCCGCGUGAGGGACGAAGGCCUCUGGGCUGUAAACCUCUUUUCUCAAGGAAGAAGAUAUGACGGUACUUGAGGAAUAAGCCACGGCUAAUUCCGUGCCAGCAGCCGCGGUAAUACGGGAGUGGCAAGCGUUAUCCGGAAUUAUUGGGCGUAAAGCGUCCGCAGGCGGCUUUUCAAGUCUGCUGUUAAAGCGUGGAGCUUAACUCCAUCUUGGCAGUGGAAACUGAAAGGCUUGAGUAUGGUAGGGGCAGAGGGAAUUCCCGGUGUAGCGGUGAAAUGCGUAGAUAUCGGGAAGAACACCAGUGGCGAAGGCGCUCUGCUGGGCCAUUACUGACGCUCAUGGACGAAAGCCAGGGGAGCGAAAGGGAUUAGAUACCCCUGUAGUCCUGGCCGU
rnacentral:rRNA from 1 species